ACGGCGUUUUCCCGUUGCACGCUGUGAUUUCAGCCCACAAAAAAAUUGUCCCAUUUAUAAAAUUGGCCCGUUCCAAAACUCAAACUUCUCCCUCGUCUCUCUCUCACUCUCCUCACAACGUACAUUGCUCCGGCCUCAUCUCUCAAAACGCAGUGACCUUCUCCUACCUCCCAUUGCUCCGGCCUCCUCCGCUCUCCCAUUGCUCCGACCACAGUAGGCUGUCCUCAAGCAGUUUGGGGCUGGAGGAUAUGGAUGUUCAGAUAAUUAGUUAGUGAUGAGGCAGAACUAGUGCGACAUCAGGAACUUGAGAAGCUUUACAUAUACACACGUGCUGGAAAGGUAAGCAAUUGAGCUGAAGGCAAAUCAAGAGCAUCACCGAUAAGAUGUUUGAUCGUUUCAAAAACAAGAUAGGAAGAGCAUAUAUGAGAUUCAAGGAUUGGCAAGUUUUAGACCUCUCUUUCAUUCUUGCCUCUUAUUUCAUCUUGAAGAUCUCUUUCAUUAUGGCUUGAAGAAUAGUUUCUCAACAUUGGAUUAAUUUGAGUUGUUGAAUAUAAUGGAUAAUUUUAUAAAAUGCACAUUUUCUUAAUUUGUCUACUUUACUUUUGGGUGCUUGAGUUAAUGU